rnacentral:lncRNA from 10 species
GCAUUUGUUAGAAGUACAAAUUCUCAGUCAGUGGUGUUGAUGCUGCUGAUCCAGGAAACACACUUUGAGAAUGACUGUUUUAAUGAGAGUAUUUACUAUUAGAAAGAAUUAACAAAGAAGCAAGCAAAAGAAAGGCUACCUGAAGUCACCGAAUAAGCAUAAUCACAAUUUCGGUGUGAUUUAGAGGCUUCAGAAUUACAAAAAUACUGUUACUGGUGAUUAAGUUAAAUACAAAAUAGAACUUCAAUUAAUCCGAGCAACUGAUUACUUCUGCUGGGCAUGGUGGCUCAUACCUAUAAUUCCAGCGCUUUGGAAGACUGAAGAAGGAGAAUGGCUU